GCCACGGUGGUCUAGCGGUCAGAACAUUAGCCUUGUAACCCUGUGGUCUCGGGUUCAAUUCCCGGCGGUGCCC
rfam:Zootermopsis nevadensis contig30752, whole genome shotgun sequence.